rnacentral:rRNA from 1 species
UGCCAGCCGCCGCGGUAAUACUGAGUGUGCAAUCGUGAUCCGGAAUCACUGGGUUUAAAGGGUGCGUAGGCGGCGUAAUAAGUCAGAAGUGAAAGCCUGCGGCUUAACCGUAGAAUUGCUUUUGAUACUGUUGAACUUGAAUUAGGUUGAGGUUGGCGGAAUGUGACAUGUAGCGGUGAAAUGCAUAGAUAUGUCAUAGAACACCAAUUGCGAAGGCAGCUGACUAGACCUUAAUUGACGCUGAGGCACGAAAGCGUGGGGAGCGAACAGGAUUAGAUA